GGAUCCCCGGAACGCCCGUUUUACCGUAGGCCAGCUCAGGUGGGAUAACCAGCUUGAUCUUGCCGCCUUUCUUAAUAUUUUUCAGCCCUUCAGUCCAGCCAGGGAUAACGCCGUCCAGACGGAAGGAUUGUGCCCUUGAGGCGUGGCUUCCGGAGCUAACGCGUUAAGUAGACCGCCUGGGGAGUACGGCCGCAAGGUUAAAACUCAAAUGAAUUGACGGGGGCCCGCACAAGCGGUGGAGCAUGUGGUUUAAU
rnacentral:rRNA from 1 species